rnacentral:rRNA from 1 species
GACGAACGCUGGCGGCGUGCUUAACACAUGCAAGUCGAACGGUGAAGCGCCUUCCUUUUUGGUGGGUGUGGAUGAGUGGCGAACGGGUGAGUAACACGUGAGUAACCUGCCCCCUUCUUCUGGAUAACCGCAUGAAAGUGUGGCUAGUACGGGAUAUUCUGGGUCUGUCGCAUGAUGGGUCUGGGAAAGAUAUUGUUUCGGUGGGGGAUGGGCUCGCGGCCUAUCAGCUUGUUGGUGGGGUGAUGGCCUACCAAGGCGGUGACGGGUAGCCGGCCUGAGAGGGUGGACGGUCACACUGGGACUGAGACACGGCCCAGACUCCUACGGGAGGCAGCAGUGGGGAAUAGUGCACAAUGGGCGCAAGCCUGAUGCAGCGACGCCGCGUGAGGGAUGGAGGCCUUCGGGUUGUGAACCUCUUUCGCCAGUGAAGCAGGCCUGCCUCGUUUGUGGGUGGGUUGACGGUAGCUGGAUAAGAAGCGCCGGCUAACUACGUG